CCUACGGGAGGCAGCAGUGGGGAAUAUUGCACAAUGGGGGAAACCCUGAUGCAGCAACGCCGCGUGAAGGAAGACGGUUUUCGGAUUGUACACUUCUGUUCUUAGUGAAGAAUAAUGACGGUAGCUAAGGAGCAAGCCACGGCUAACUACGCGCCAGCAGCCGCGGUAAUACGUAGGUGGCAAGCGUUGUCCGGAAUUACUGGGUGUAAAGGGAGCGCAGGCGGGAAGCCAAGUCAGCUGUGAAAACUACGGGCUUAACUUGUAGACUGCAGUUGAAACUGGUUUUCUUGAGUGAAGUAGAGGUUGGCGGAAUUCCGAGUGUAGCGGUGAAAUGCGUAGAUAUUCGGAGGAACACCGGUGGCGAAGGCGGCCAACUGGGCUUUAACUGACGCUGAGGCUCGAAAGUGUGGGGAGCGAACAGGAUUAGAUACCCGAGUAGUC
rnacentral:rRNA from 1 species